rnacentral:rRNA from 1 species
GAUGAACGCUGGCGGCGUGCCUAAUACAUGCAAGUCGAGCGAACAGAUGAGGAGCUUGCUCCUCUGACGUUAGCGGCGGACGGGUGAGUAACACGUGGAUAACCUACCUAUAAGACUGGGAUAACUUCGGGAAACCGGAGCUAAUACCGGAUAAUAUAUUGAACCGCAUGGUUCAAUAGUGAAAGACGGUUUUGCUGUCACUUAUAGAUGGAUCCGCGCCGCAUUAGCUAGUUGGUAAGGUAACGGCUUACCAAGGCAACGAUGCGUAGCCGACCUGAGAGGGUGAUCGGCCACACUGGAACUGAGACACGGUCCAGACUCCUACGGGAGGCAGCAGUAGGGAAUCUUCCGCAAUGGGCGAAAGCCUGACGGAGCAACGCCGCGUGAGUGAUGAAGGUCUUCGGAUCGUAAAACUCUGUUAUUGGGGAAGAACAAAUGUGUAAGUAACUAUACACGUCUUGACGGUACCUAAUCAGAAAGCCACGGCUAACUACGUG